GAUGAACGCUGGCGGCGUGCCUAAUACAUGCAAGUCGAGCGAACAGACGAGGAGCUUGCUCCUCUGACGUUAGCGGCGGACGGGUGAGUAACACGUGGAUAACCUACCUAUAAGACUGGGAUAACUUCGGGAAACCGGAGCUAAUACCGGAUAAUAUAUUGAACCGCAUGGUUCAAUAGUGAAAGACGGUUUUGCUGUCACUUAUAGAUGGAUCCGCGCCGCAUUAGCUAGUUGGUAAGGUAACGGCUUACCAAGGCAACGAUGCGUAGCCGACCUGAGAGGGUGAUCGGCCACACUGGAACUGAGACACGGUCCAGACUCCUACGAGAGGCAGCAGUAGGGAAUCUUCCGCAAUGGGCGAAAGCCUGACGGAGCAACGCCGCGUGAGUGAUGAAGGUCUUCGGAUCGUAAAACUCUGUUAUUAGGGAAGAACAAAUGUGUAAGUAACUAUGCACGUCUUGACGGGACCUAAUCAGAAAGCCACGGCUAACUACGU
rnacentral:rRNA from 1 species